rnacentral:rRNA from 1 species
UACGAAGGGGGCUAGCGUUGCUCGGAAUCACUGGGCGUAAAGCGCACGUAGGCGGAUUCCUAAGUCGGGGGUGAAAUCCUGGAGCUCAACUCCAGAACUGCCUUCGAUACUGGCGAUCUCGAGUCCGGGAGAGGUGAGUGGAACUGCGAGUGUAGAGGUGAAAUUCGUAGAUAUUCGCAAGAACACCAGUGGCGAAGGCGGCUCACUGGCCCGGUACUGACGCUGAGGUGCGAAAGCGUGGGGAGCAAACAGG